rnacentral:rRNA from 1 species
UGCCAGCCGCCGCGGUAAUACGAAGGGUGCUAGCGUUGUUCGGAAUUACUGGGCGUAAAGAGCAUGUAGGCGGAUUGCUAAGUCAGAUGUGAAAGCCCGGGGCCUAACCUCGGAAGUGCAUCUGAUACUGGCAGUCUUGAGUACUAGAGAGGAUUGUGGAAUUCCUGGUGUAGUGGUGAAAUACGUAGAUAUCAGGAGGAACAUCGGAGGCGAAGGCGGCAAUCUAGCUAGAUACUGACACUGAGAUGCGAAAGCGUGGGUAGCAAACAGGAUUAGAUA